rnacentral:rRNA from 1 species
CAAGUAUUAAAGGUCCCGCCUGCCCAGUGAAAUUUAUUUUAACGGCCGCGGUAUCAUAACCGUGCAAAGGUAGCGUAAUCACUUGCCCCCUAAUUAGGGGCCUGUAUGAACGGCCAACUGAGGGCGUCCCUGUCUCCUAGGAUAAAGUAAUGAAACUGAUCCCCCGGUACAAAAGCCGGAAUUCCCACAUAAGACGAGAAGACCCCGUGGAGCUUUAAAACACCUGCUACCCCACCCACCUAGCAGCGCCUUUUAGUUGGGGCAACUAUGGAGAAAAACAGAACCUCCACGUAAAAAUUACUAUUACACAAGGCCCACAAGCCACCAAGCAACCUCGACCCAGUACAACUGAUCAACGAACCAAGUUACCCCGGGGAUAACAGCGCCAUCCUCUUUAAGAGUCCCUAUCGCCAAGAGGGCUUACGACCUCGAUGUUGGAUCAGGACACCCCGGUGGCGCAGCCGCUACCAAAGGUCUGUUUGUUCAACAGUUAAA